GCCCUGCUGGCGCAAUGGUAGCGCGCAAGACUUCUAUUACUACUUCUGAUAAAAACAUUAUCUUGAAGGUCCCUUUGACUCUCUUGUGUAUGAGAGAGAUACAGAUAUCUUGAGGUUGUGGGUUCGACCCCCACGUAGGGCU